rnacentral:rRNA from 1 species
CCUACGGGAGGCUGCAGUGGGGGAUAUUGCACAAUGGGGGAAACCCUGAUGCAGCGACGCCGCGUGGGCGAAGAAGUAUUUCGGUAUGUAAAGCCCUAUCAGCAGGGAAGAAGAAAUGACGGUACCUGAGUAAGAAGCACCGGCUAAAUACGUGCCAGCAGCCGCGGUAAUACGUAUGGUGCAAGCGUUGUCCGGAUUUACUGGGUGUAAAGGGCGUGCAGCCGGGAAGACAAGUCAGAUGUGAAAUCCCGCGGCUCAACCGCGGAACUGCAUUUGAAACUGUUUUUCUUGAGUACCGGAGAGGUCAUCGGAAUUCCUUGUGUAGCGGUGAAAUGCGUAGAUAUAAGGAAGAACACCAGUGGCGAAGGCGGAUGACUGGACGGCAACUGAUGGUGAGGCGCGAAAGCGUGGGGAGCAAACAGGAUUAGAUACCCUGGUAGUC